CCUCUCGUAGCUCAGUGGUAGAGCAGCUGGUUGUGAUCCAGCAGGCGGCGGUUCGAUUCCGCUCGGGGGGA
rnacentral:tRNA from 1 species